AUAAAGCUAUUUUUAAUUAAAUUUCUACUCAUUACUAGUUUCAAAUUCAUGCAACAUUAAAAUGUGGGCCAAGGGAGCUGUCACCUAAGCUGAAAAUUAUUUAAUGGUGCAGCAUCUUGUCAAUGUCCCUUGCACAAGGAAGGGAUCAGAGAUGCACUAUGGUAAAUAUUUGCUAGUUUGUGGAUGGAAACAUUUCUGGUAAAAAAAGACAUAUUGCCAAAAAAAUGGUAUCUCUGCACUGGGCCUGAUAUAUUUAUUUCUUUGAAGAAUUUGGUGAAUAAUUCUACCUCAUCAAUAGAAACUAGAAGAGACUUGAAAUUUGUAAUGGCCUUUCUUCAAUAUACGUAAAACAUCACCAACUAAAGAAGCUCUUGAUUUUCAUCAAAACAAAUUAUCUUUGUUUUCAACGUGGCAAAUAUAAGGCGAACUUUGCAUGCAUUCUUAUUUCAGAGAUGCCAUUUUUCCGUCUUUGAUUGCUUGACAGGUGAACACCAAUCGUAAAUCAUUGCUUUAAUUUUUCCCACCAUUCCCUUCACACGUAGUUUUUCAAAAUGGCCGCCGGGUGAGCGAUGACUGCGUUUCUCUAUUCGCUGUAAGUGUGAAGGGAGUAAUUUCAUUAUGACGAAGGCUCAGCAUCACCAGCAUAUGCCAAAGACUCUGGAAAACGCUGGAGAGUUUCGGAUGUUUAUUUAUGAGCUGACAGAGUCAAGAAUUUUUAGCGUUAGCAUCCUGUUCGUAAUUCUUCUCAACACAGUGAUCUUGGUGAUUCAAACUGACGAAGCAUUUGCAGUGAAAGCAGGUUGGUAUCUAUCGGCUCUCGACAACGUCUUCCUUGCUAUCUAUUUCAUGGAGAUCAUUGUGAAGCUGUAUGCUCUUCGCUCGUAUUUCUUCAAGACUGGAUGGAACAUAAUGGACCUACUCAUCGUCCUUUUCACAGUUGUGGACUUUCUGCUGCCGCUGAUCGUGCAGAAUGUAGGUUCCUUCGAUGUGGCAGCCAUCUUUAGGCUACUGCGCAUGUUUAGAGCUAUCAGGGCGCUGAGAGCAUUGCGGGUGUUACGAACCAUCAGGUUUUUGAAGAAUCUACAAGUUAUCAUGACAACGAUCCUAAAAUCGUUCAGGGCGCUGAGUACGAUCGUUAUGCUACAGGGACUCUUCCUUUAUAUGUUUGCGGUGAUAGGUCGCGGGUUAUUUUAUGAAGUAGCUCCCGCCAGGUUUGGUACUCUGGGGAAGGCGUUCUUCACACUCUUCCAGCUCAUUACUUUGGACGAUUGGUUCUAUAUGUACAGUGAUGUUGUGGCGAGGAAUCCAGGUUAUGGUUACAUCAUCUUUUAUCUCAUCGUCUACAUCGUCCUGGAGAAUUUUAUCUUUAUGAAUCUGUUCGUGGCAGUUCUGGUGGAUAACUUUCAGCGAACCAUUACAGCCGUGGAAAACAAGCCUCACAAGAAAAACAGCGGGAUUCACUUUAAGAGUGUCUUUGAAGACGUAAAGUCAGGCGAAGAUGGAAGUGCAUACUCUUUUUCGGACAAUUCUUUUUCCGAAUUUGAAGGAGUUUAGAUGGGUACCGGCGAAUUGUCAGGGCUGCGUGAUGAAAUGCUGGACGAUCACCUUGCGAUUGACUGGCAUCUUACUCAGGCGGGAGUAUUAAUGGUCAGUCGCUUCCUAACCGGGAUAAGCCUCCUGGCAAGACCUAACCUACCUUUGAGGGAGUCCACCGAAGAAGUUGCAGUGGACCUUGAGUUAGAAUUGAAAAAAGCGUUACAAGGGUCUGAUUGGCUCUGUUACACUUGAACGCUCUCGUAAAGUUUACAGCAAAUGGGCACCGUCUUAAUUUUCACCAUUCUCAUAAGCUGUGGUGGAAAUAUUAUCAAAUUUUGUGGUCAAUGAGAGAUUUGUUUUCUUCUCUUUACUGUUGGUUGAUAUGUGGUUGAAGGGAAACGUGGAAGUGAAUGUUUAAUAUCAUUGUUCUAGUAGACGAGGAGGAGGAAGAAGACGCCGACAUCGUGAUUGCGAAAAAAGUGGAGGACUACUAUCCUAAAAAUAAAUUCUCUGACAGGGAACGAGCUUUCAUCGCCGAAUAUUUUACGCUGCUCGCCUC
rnacentral:misc_RNA from 1 species